UUGGGAAUCUUGCACAAUGGGGGAAACCCUGAUGCAGCGACGCCGCGUGGAGGACGAAGGAUUUCGGUCUGUAAACUCCUUUUGCAGGGAAAGACUCAGGACGGUACCCUGCGAAUAAGCUCCGGCUAACUACGUGCCAGCAGCCGCGGUAAGACGUAGGGAGCAAGCGUUGUCCGGAUUUACUGGGCGUAAAGCGCGCGUAGGCGGUCUGUUAAGUGAGUGGUGAAAUCUCCAGGGCUCAACCCGGAAACUGCUUCUCAUACUGGCAAACUAGAGGAAUGCAGAGGUAAGUAGAAUUCCCGGUGUAACGGUGACAUGUAUUGAUAUCGGGAGGAAUACCCAAGGCGAAGGCAGCUUACUGGGCAUUAUCUGACGCUGAGGUGCGAAAGCGUGGGGAGCA
rnacentral:rRNA from 1 species